UUACUAAAGGCUUAAUAUCAAAGAGAAGGUCUUUAUUAGAUGUCAUGUGGUCAGUGGCACCAUAGUCUAUAAUCCAAAUGCAAUCACUUAUUUUGGUUAGCAUGCAAGCCCCAUAAGAUAUAUUCUUUAAAUGGGUUGGAGAAAAAUUACCAGCAAAGUUGGUUGAUGCCAUAAGGCUGGACUGCUGCUUAGACUCUGAAAUCUGUGUCUGCUGGAGCAGCAUCAUAAGCUGGGAAUAUUGGUCUUUGGUUAAACCAGGUAUGAGAG
rnacentral:lncRNA from 1 species